GACGGAGGAUGCAAGCGUUAUCCGGAUUGAUUGGGCGUAAAGCGUCUGUAGGUGGCUUGGCAAGUCUGCUGUCAAAGCCCCGGGCUUAACCCUGGACAGGCAGUGGAAACUACCGAGCUUGAGUACGGUAGGGGCAGAGGGAAUUCCCGGUGAAGCGGUGAAAUGCGUAGAUAUCGGGAAGAACGCCAACAGCGAAGGCACUCUGCUGGGCCGACACUGACACUCAGAGACGAAAGCUAGGGGAGCGAAUGGG
rnacentral:rRNA from 1 species